GCCAGGCACGGAGGUGCACACCUGUAAUCCCGGCAGCUUGGGAGGCUGAGGCAGGAGGAUCAUGAGUUCAAAGCCAGCCUUAGCAAUGGCGAGGCGCUAAGCAACUCAGUGAGACCCUGUCUCUA
rnacentral:sRNA from 1 species